UUUUGGUUCUUGUUAGCCCCAGGGCCAGUCACUGUCGUGGCACCCACUGGAAUGCUCGAGAGAAGAGGGACCCAAGAGGAUGUGGGAGCAGAAGAAAAUGGUGUUUGCAAUAUGCCUCUGCUUAAACUGCCAUUCCUGAAGGCGAUGUAACUCUUGGCAUUCUGGCACACGUGCUGGAGACAUGAUCAUAGGCCCAUGGGACCCGAGAGCCUCAGCAAGUACACAUGGCCGUCACUCAGCCUGGUCCUCUGAAACAUGCUCAGAUUGCUGCCGUGAGGCUAUCUAUAGUCUGGCAAAAUCCAUCUGAUAUGUGCAGUGAUGAACAUCUUGUGUACUUGAUCAAACACUGUGGAGAGAAUGGAAAACAGUUGUUAUAAAGGCUUUGGAAGAGUCUGGAGCCUGCGUUGAGAGCUCCCAUUAAAGAAGCUCAAUUAAUACUUAGACCAUGGACUUCCAAAGGGACUGAUUUUUCUGCCUCAGCGACACACUUCCUGAGGGAGCACAGAACGGUAGAAACUGGUAAAUUAGAGAAGGAGAUAAGACAUUUCCCUGGAUGGAAGGAACUCAGCACACCAAAGCAGGCAACAUGAGGGAAGAUUUCUUCAGAUGUAUACAGCACAGAUGCCUUGACCCCUCCAUACCUCAAGCUUAAUGUGAUUCCCAAGACUGCACGUCAUAUGUGUAGAGCCUUGAGGAGGCCUUUGGUUGGUACCGGAGUAGUUAGCCUAAGAAUCGGCGUGCAAGGCCAGAAUGCUCUCACCUCACUAACUUACUUGCCUCUCCUCUUUAACACCAUUUUACUUUUUUUGUAUAAAUGUUUUUGACACAGGGUCUCACACAAAAGCCUAGGCUGAACUCUACUCAUGGUGAUCCUCCUGCCUUAGCCUUCUCAGUACUGGAAUUAUAGGCAUGUACCACUGUGUCUGAAUAAAGGGGCCCUCCUCAGGUACAGCCACCUGAUGUUGGGCUUUUCAGCCUUAAGAACUGUGAGCUAAAACUACUUUUCUCUCAUUUAUAAACUCCCUAGGCUGAGAUAUACUGCUAUAGCAAUCAAAAAAGCCAAACAGCUCUGGCAUCAGGAAUGCUGCAUGUAAAUGCUCUCUCCAUGUUAUUGUUUCUUGGAAUUCUCCAGGAAGGAAGGCAAAAGGAAGUCAAAAGAAAGUCAAAACCACAGCUGGAUUAGGAGACCAGAGAAACUGGGAGACACCACAGCACAGGAACUGACAUCUUCAUCUAACAUCUAAUCUCUAGGGUGGCAUGAUAGCAGGCACUUUUAAUUCUAGCACUAGAGAGGCAGCUGAGGCAGGAGGAUGGAGAGAUUAAAGCCAACCCGAUGGAGUGUGAGAACCUGUCUCCAUCAAAAAGGUUCAAUCGCUGUAAAAGACAGGAAUUCUUCUAGCUGAAAAAAAAAUAGAACAAAAUCCUUGAAGGUGAGACAGUAGAACAGUUAAUUCUAGACUUUUCUAAGUGUAAGCCAAGUAGAAAUGUGGCUAUUGCCUCUGUCCUUGUAACUGUGACACUCCCCAACCCAGGGCUUUUUUUCUUUCCCAAACUCAAAAUAGAAGUGUUUAUAACGCUUGCUAUUAAAGUGUUCCUUUGCCAUGGCAGAUAAGAAAUGAGCAGCCUUGGCUAGGGCCUACCUCACAAGCAGAGCCCUCACCUCAUCCAGCUUCUCUGCAGCUUUGGGUUCUACCCACAACACCAAAGAAAAGAGAAAAGAAAUUGCAGAUCCAGUUGAAUUUCUUGUCUUGUUGGCCAUUGUCCUUAAAAACAAAUUGCUCUCAUAGAAAGAACGAGCACGGAGCUCAAUAAGAAGUCAGCUAAUCAGUCUGUGGGAAUCCGUAUGAAUAAAGUUUGCGUGUGUAAACGUGAGACACAUGCGUGACCAUUGACAAAUGACUUCCCGCCUUGACCCUCAGUUUCUUCAUAUGAGUUAGAUGACUCAUAAAAUCCUAUGAAUCACAUGUUGACAGAAUAAAUUACUGCUCGUUGUGUUUCA